GUGGGGAAUUUUCCGCAAUGGGCGAAAGCCUGACGGAGCAAUGCCGCGUGAAGGAUGAAGGCCUAUGGGUUGUAAACUUCUUUUCUCAGAAAAGAAUUAUGACGGUAUCUGAGGAAUAAGCAUCGGCUAACUCUGUGCCAGCAGCCGCGGUAAGACAGAGGAUGCAAGCGUUAUCCGGAAUGAUUGGGCGUAAAGCGUCUGUAGGUUGUUUAAAAAGUAUUCUGUCAAAGAUUAGGGCUUAACCCUAGAUAGGCAGAAUAAACUUUUAAGCUAGAGUUUGGUAGAGGCAGAGGGAAUUCCCGGUGGAGCGGUGAAAUGCGUAGAUAUCGGGAGGAACACCAAAGGCGAAGGCACUCUGCUGGGCCAAUACUAACACUGAGAGACGAAAGCGAGGGGAGCAAAUGGGAUUAGAAACCCCAGUAGUCC
rnacentral:rRNA from 1 species